rnacentral:sRNA from 1 species
UGCAGACGCCUCUGGCGUUUCCUCCCUUUGACCUUGGCCGCGCUCUCGUAGCGCGGCCUUUUUUUGGAAGUAA